rfam:Salmo salar isolate Sally breed double haploid chromosome ssa25, whole genome shotgun sequence.
CGCAUUCACUAUUGUAAGUCACUCUGUAUAAGAGCGUCUGCUAAAUGACAUAAA